CAGGCUUAACACAUGCAAGUCGAGGGGCAUCAGGAAGAAAGCUUGCUUUCUUUGCUGGCGACCGGCGCACGGGUGAGUAACACGUAUCCAACCUGCCCUUUACUCGGGGAUAGCCUUUCGAAAGAAAGAUUAAUACCCGAUAGCAUAAUGAUUCCGCAUGGUUUCAUUAUUAAAGGAUUCCGGUAAAGGAUGGGGAUGCGUUCCAUUAGGUUGUUGGUGAGGUAACGGCCCACCAAGCCUUCGAUGGAUAGGGGUUCUGAGAGGAAGGUCCCCCACAUUGGAACUGAGACACGGUCCAAACUCCUACGGGAGGCAGCAGUGAGGAAUAUUGGUCAAUGGGCGCUAGCCUGAACCAGCCAAGUAGCGUGAAGGAUGAAGGCUCUAUGGGUCGUAAACUUCUUUUAUAUAAGAAUAAAGUGCAGUAUGUAUACUGUUUUGUAUGUAUUAUAUGAAUAAGGAUCGGCUAACUCCGUGCCAGCAGCCGCGGUAAUACGGAGGAUCCGAGCGUUAUCCGGAUUUAUUGGGUUUAAAGGGAGCGUAGGUGGACUGGUAAGUCAGUUGUGAAAGUUUGCGGCUCAACCGUAAAAUUGCAGUUGAUACUGUCAGUCUUGAGUACAGUAGAGGUGGGCGGAAUUCGUGGUGUAGCGGUGAAAUGCUUAGAUAUCACGAAGAACUCCGAUUGCGAAGGCAGCUCACUGGACUGCAACUGACACUGAUGCUCGAAAGUGUGGGUAUCAAACAGGAUUAGAUACCCUGGUAGUCCACACAGUAAACGAUGAAUACUCGCUGUUUGCGAUAUACAGUAAGCGGCCAAGCGAAAGCAUUAAGUAUUCCACCUGGGGAGUACGCCGGCAACGGUGAAACUCAAAGGAAUUGACGGGGGCCCGCACAAGCGGAGGAACAUGUGGUUUAAUUCGAUGAUACGCGAGGAACCUUACCCGGGCUUAAAUUGCAGUGGAAUGAUGUGGAAACAUGUCAGUGAGCAAUCACCGCUGUGAAGGUGCUGCAUGGUUGUCGUCAGCUCGUGCCGUGAGGUGUCGGCUUAAGUGCCAUAACGAGCGCAACCCUUAUCUUUAGUUACUAACAGGUUAUGCUGAGGACUCUAGAGAGACUGCCGUCGUAAGAUGUGAGGAAGGUGGGGAUGACGUCAAAUCAGCACGGCCCUUACGUCCGGGGCUACACACGUGUUACAAUGGGGGGUACAGAAGGCAGCUAGCGGGUGACCGUAUGCUAAUCCCAAAAUCCUCUCUCAGUUCGGAUCGAAGUCUGCAACCCGACUUCGUGAAGCUGGAUUCGCUAGUAAUCGCGCAUCAGCCACGGCGCGGUGAAUACGUUCCCGGGCCUUGUACACACCGCCCGUCAAGCCAUGGGAGCCGGGGGUACCUGAAGUACGUAACCGCAAGGAUCGUCCUAGGGUAAAACUGGUGACUGGGGCUAAGUCAUAACAA
rnacentral:rRNA from 1 species